UGGUGGAGUGAUUUGUCUGGUUAAUUCCGAUAACGAACGAGACCCCCUCCUACUUACUAGACUGUGGAUGAUUCACACAUCCUCAGACUCUUCUUAGAGGGACUGUGUGUGCAUAAUGCAAGGAAGUUUGAGGCAAUAACA
rnacentral:rRNA from 1 species